AUGACUCCUGGCAACAGAUUUCUUGGCUCUCGCAAUGUUGAAGAAUGUAGCAAAAUGCAAUACCUGGUGUGAAUUGCAUAAUCCCGUGAACCAUCAAGUUUUUGAACGCAAGUUGGGCUCGAGGCCUUCUGGCCGAGGACACGUCUGCCUAGGUGUCACGCUAAAAGACACUCCCAACCCACCCUUGGGGAGGGUCGUGGGGUUUGGUCCCGCUUGCCGUAGGGCGCAGUGGGCCGAAGUUGGGGUUGUCGACGAAUCAUGUCAGGCACAACACAUGGUGGGUGACACUUAGUUGUUCUUGGUGCAAUGCCCUGGAACAUGGCCGGUGCAUUGGCCCUAAUGACCCAUGGCGCACCGCAGUGCAUCGCCACUUGAACCAUGACCCCAGGUCAGUCAAGACUACCCACUGAGUUUAGGCAUAUAAAUAAGUGGAGGAGAAGAAACUUACAAGGAUUCCCCUAGUAAUGGCGAGCGAACCGGGACCAGCCUAGCUUGAGAAUCAGGUGGCUUCGUCACCCGAAUUGUAGUCUAGAGAGGCAUCCUCAAUGGUGGACCUAGAAAGGGAUGCCAGGGAGGGUGAGAGCCUCAUCCGGCCUAGACCCUGUCGCACCACGAGGCGCCAUCAACGAGUCGGGUUGUUUGGGAAUGCAGCCCAAAUCAGGCAGUAAAGUCCGUCCAAGGAUAAAUACAUGUGAGAGACCGAUAGCGAACAAGUACCAUGAGGGAAAGAUGAAAAGGACUUCGAAAAGAGAGUCAAAGAGUGCUUAAAAUUGUCGGGAGGGAAGCUGAUGGGGGCUGGCGAUGCACCCCGGUCGUAUGCGAAACGGCUUUUGCUGGUCCGCCAAUCGGCUUAGGGCGUGGACUGUUGUCGGCCAUGCCGGUGGCCUAAGCCCAGGAGCCCUAGGUGCCUCUGGCAGCUAUCAUCGGCACAGCUAGACUCCACGCGCUGCAAGGCACGCUCCUCAGGGCGCUACGCUGCAACGGCCUGCGAGCUCCCCAUCUGACCCAUCUUGAAACACGGACCAAGGAGUCUGACGUGCGUGCUGAGUCGAUGGGUUCUGAAACCUAGGAUGCGCAAGGAAGCUGACAAGUGGGAGGCCUUCAUAGGCUACACCGCUAGUCGAUCCUGAUCUUCUGUGAAGGGUUCGAGUUGGAGCACGCCUGUCGAGACCCGAAAGAUGGUAAACUAUGCCUGAGCGGGGCGAAGCCAGAGGAAACUCUGGUGGAGGCUCGAAGCGAUACUGGCGGGCAAACCAUUCGACGUAUAGGGGUGAAAAACUAAUUGAACCAUCCAGUAGCUGGUUCCCUCCAAGUUUCCCUUAGGAUAGCUGGAGCCUAUUAUGAGUUCUAUCGGGUAAAGCCAAUGAUUAGAGACAUUGGGGGCACAAUGCCCUCGACCUAUUCUCAAACUUUAAAUAGGUAGGAUGGCACGGCUGCUCCUGUGAGCCAUGCCACGGAAUCGGGACCUCCAAGUGGGCCAUUUUUGGUAAGCAGAACUAGCAAUGUGGGAUGAACUGGAAGCCGGCUUAUAGUGCCGAACUACGCGCUAACCUAGAACCCACAAAGGGUGUUGGUCGAUUAAGAUAGCAGGACGAUUGUCAUGGAAGUCGAAAUCUGCUAAGGAGUGUUACAUAUGUGAUAUACAUAGUAAUGUAUAAUGUUUUUGCAAAAUAAAUUAGGUGUACAUUUCUACACCCUAGACCCAUGCUAGGGCCACCCCAAUCCCUAUGUAUGUAUAUUGGAAUCGAGAUGACAAUAGGAUGGAAACUUUAUCUAAUUGUUGAGCUGUACCAGUGGUGUACUGGUUAUGUCCAAUGUACAUCUCUUUUGCCCUAGCUAUGUAAUAGAUCAGACCAGUAGGGAGAAUCUAUCUUGUGCAAAAAGGAACUCACAAUAUAAGUGGAACAUCUAGGCAAUAGGGCCAUGCAUAGAUCGGACUAGCAGGGACAAUCUAUCCUGUGCAAAAAGGAACUCACAAUAUAAGUGGAACAUCUAGGCAAUAUAGCAUGCACAACAUCUAGGCAAUAUAGCAUGCACAACAUCUAUGCAACCGUAUAAACAUGACCAGAAGCAAGGGAUGUACAUCAGUACAAGAAUGGUAGACUAAUUAGUUAAGUCCCAAGUUGCUAGUCCAUCAGUCUGGCUACUACUAAACACCAUUGGUUGCAUAUAGGCCGUUUUAAGGAUCUGGAGUGAAUCUAGGAGGAUGAUAAUAAGUUCAACGCUGUCCUCACACUUCUUGAUAUCGAAACCGUAGAAAGACGCACACGCAGAUUGUUGUGAAGAAAAUAUUGCUUCCACUUUUUUUUGUCUAGCCAAAUGCGGUCGCCAACUGGUUGUCGGUUCCAUAUACAUAAGACUAUAUUGUGUGGUGAGCCUCCCAGUUCCAUGUGUAACUUGAAGACACCUGUGGUCACGUUGUCCUCGUAGAACGGCUUCAGUUUGUUAUAAAAUGCCUUAGAAAGGUACUGCAUGUAGAAAUAAUAAUUAAAAUAUGGAAUGAUAAGCUUAAGAGUCGUCUGACUCAUUUAGGGCAUACUUACAAGUUGAUAUGCGCCUUUUUAUUUUUUCCUUCAGGAUCAGAAGAUUUUGGAAUCUUAUAAAUGCAAAGCACCACAUUGUCUAGCUAACACAUCAAAACCUGCUUAAGGUUUUCACAAAGUGUUAUACCCUGAGUGACAGCGGGCCCCUUCCCUGAAGGCUCAUCAAUCUGGACCUGCUUUGGUGAUGCAGCUCCAGGCUCAUCAAUCCCCUUUCUGCUCACACCAAUCUUCUGUUGCAUCGUCAAUCUAAUUGGAGCUCAAGACUAUGCCCGCCUCCGAUAGAUCUUCUGUCUGAACUGGCCCUAAUGUGGCUCUAGGCACACCAUUUGCUGAUGAAUUGUCACCUAGUUUGGAACUCGAGACUGUGCCCACCUCCGAUAGAUCUUCUGUCUGAACUGGCCCUAAUGUGGCUCUAGGCACACCAUUUGCUGAUGAAUUGUCACCUAGUUUGGAACUCGAGACUGUGCCCACCUCCGAUAGAUCUUCUGUCUGAACUGGCCCUAAUGUGGCUCUAGGCACACCAUUUGCUGAUGAAUUGUCACCUAGUUUGGAACUCGAGACUGUGCCCACCUCCGAUAGAUCUUCUGUCUGAACUGGCCCUAAUGUGGCUCUAGGCACACCAUUUGCUGAUGAAUUGUCACCUAGUUUGGAACUCGAGACUGUGCCCACCUCCGAUAGAUCUUCUGUCUGAACUGGCCCUA
rnacentral:rRNA from 1 species